GCGCAGGAAAAGAAACCAACAGGGAUUGCCUCAGUAACGGCGAGUGAAGCGGCAAAAGCUCAAAUUUGAAAUCUGCGUAAGCCGAGUUGUAAUUUGAAGAUGGCUACUUUGGUAAUGGCUCUUGUCUAUGUUCCUUGGAACAGGACGUCACAGAGGGUGAGAAUCCCGUGCGAUGAGAUGUCCAUUACCGUGUAAAGUGCUUUCGAAGAGUCGAGUUGUUUGGGAAUGCAGCUCUAAGUGGGUGGUAAAUUCCAUCUAAAGCUAAAUAUUGGCGAGAGACCGAUAGCGAACAAGUACAGUGAUGGAAAGAUGAAAAGAACUUUGAAAAGAGAGUGAAAAAGUACGUGAAAUUGUUGAAAGGGAAGGGCUUGAGAUCAGACUUGGUAUUUUGUAUGGCUUGCUUUCGGGCGGGUCCUCUGCAGUUUACUGGGCCAGCAUCGGUUUGGGUGGCAGGAUAAUAGCAUAGGAAUGUGGCUCUACUUCGGUGGAGUGUUAUAGCCUUUGUUGAUACUGCCUGCCUAGACCGAGGACUGCGUCUUUUGACUAGGAUGCUGGCAUAAUGAUCCUAAGCCGCCCGUCUUGAAACACGGACCAAGGAGUCUAACGUCUAUGCGAGUGUUUGGGUGUAAAACCCGUACGCGGAAUGAAAGUGAACGUAGAUGAGAGCCUUUUAGGCGCAUCAUCGACCGAUCCUGAUGUUCUCGGAUGG
rnacentral:rRNA from 1 species